rnacentral:rRNA from 1 species
AAAGUGAGGGAUAACGCACCGAAGGUGUGCUAAUACCGCAUAUGGUCUUCGGAUUAAAGGAUUUAUCCGCUUUGGGAGUGGCCCGCGUACGAUUAGAUUGUUGGUGAGGUAACGGCUCACCAAGUCGACGAUCGUUAACUGGUCUGAGAGGAUGAUCAGUCAGACUGGAACUGAGACACGGUCCAGACUCCUACGGGAGGCAGCAGUAAGGAAUCUUCCACAAUGGGCGAAAGCCUGAUGGAGCAACGCCGCGUGCAGGAUGAAGGCCCUCGGGUCGUAAACUGCUUUUAUGAGUGAAGAAUAUGACGGUAACUCAUGAAUAAGCACCGGCUAACUACGUG